rnacentral:rRNA from 2 species
AUACCGGCAGCCCGAGUGAUGGCCAAUUUUAUUGGGCCUAGAGCGUCCGUAGCCGGCCAGACAGGUCCGUCGGGAAAUCUGCUCGCUUAACGAGCAGGCGUCCGACGGAAACCCGCUGGCUUGGGACCAGAAGACUCGAGGGGUACGUCUGGGGUAGGAGUGAAAUCCUGUAAUCCUAGACGGACCGCCGAUCGCGAAAGCACCUCGAGAGGAUGGAUCCGACGGUGAGGGACGAAAGCUAGGGUCACGAACCGGAUUAGAUACCCGGGUAGUCCUAGCUGUAAACGAUGCUCGCUAGGUGUGGCACAGGCUACGAGCCUGUGCUGUGCCGUAGGGAAGCCGAGAAGCGAGCCGCCUGGGAAGUACGUCCGCAAGGAUGAA